rnacentral:rRNA from 1 species
AACGAACGCUGGCGGCAUGCCUAACACAUGCAAGUCGAACGAGACCUCCGGGUCUAGUGGCGCACGGGUGCGUAACGCGUGGGAACCUGCCCUUAUGUUUGGAAUAACUCUCCGACAGGGGUGCUAACACCGGAUAAUGUCUUCGGACCAAAGAUUUAUCGCCUGUGGAUGGGCCCGCGUUGGAUUAGCUAGUUGGUAGGGUAAAAGCCUACCAAGGCGACGAUCCAUAGCUGGUCUGAGAGGAGGCUCAGCCACACUGGGACUGAGGCACGGCCCACUCCUACGGGAGGCGGCAGUGGGGAAUAUUGGACAAUGGGCGGAAGGCUGAUGCAGCUAGGCCGCGUGAGUGAUGAAGGCCUUAGGGUUGUAAAGCUCUUUUACCCGGGAUGAUAAUGACGGUACCGGGAGAAUAAGCUCCGGCUAACUCCGUG